rnacentral:lncRNA from 1 species
CACAGCAAUAGCAUUCAACUUCGAGGCGGGAGUCCACCAUUACAUAGACACCGACACAGAUGACGAGGGUCAGCUGCUCUACAGCGUGGACUCCAGCCCUCCCAAAAGUCUCCACGGGAGUACCAGUCCCAAGUUCAGCACUGGAGCUAGAACGGAGAAGAACCACUUCGAGAGCUCCCCCUUGCCCACCUCCCCUAAGUUCUUAAGGCCGAACUGUGUCUACUCCUCAGAAGGGUUGACUGGAAAAGGCCCUGGGGCUCAAGAGAAAUGCAAGCUGGAGAACCAUACCCCCCCGGAUGUGCACAUGCUGCCUGGGGGAGGAGCACACGGGAGCACUAGGGAUCAGAGUAUCUGAGCUCCCUACCACAGAGGGCAUCUGCAGGAGAAAUCAAGGAGGAGGGAUGCUUGGCUUGCCUGCCACUGAGUUCUGCAUGAACUCCAAGGCCCCCACCACCACAGAGCCCCAGCAAGAGGAGAGACCCCGAGAGCCAUGACCAAUCUGUGGACACUAACUAGCCACGGGGACCACACCUAACAACAUCUUCCUGAGAUGGCCGGAGCAGAGCUGACAGCCACCACUAAGACCUAGCCUAGGACACACACUCCUAGUCUCGUCUGGAGGCUCUCUCAGCCUCUGGAUACACCAUCACCAUCUCUCAAGGCUUCAGCUGAGAUGGGUGUUGGAGCGAGGGGUUGCUAGUGAAAGAGUGGGCUGCCCAAGAAGUACUGGGUGUCGGUCUCCUGUUAGGAGGGUGCAGAGGACCCUUGAUCAUGAGGGAUUCUCUGCUCCGUCAGCCACACUCCUAGGGCAUUGUGAUGCUUACAUAAGCAAGUGGCUCAAAUGAUUCAGUAUUCUGUGGUCCCUGGGGCUUUAUUCGGAGACUCUGUCGGGGUGAGCUGACAAUUUAGACUCAAUUCUUUCUGCCCACCUGGCCAUCCAGGAAGUGUUCCGACGGUUGGCACGCAGCCAGGGCUGGCACAGGAACGUGGGUUCCAAACAACGCUCGUAUGGACUGAAAAGAUACGCAGGCGUCAAAUAUGCAAACGAGAUAGAUUAUUUAAGGAGACUGUGUGUGACUGAAAAGCAACAUUAAAAAAUAAUAAAUUUCAUUUUCUACAUGAAAAAAAAAAAAGAAAAGGAAAAAAAAUCCUUCACUGAACUGCCCUGUGCAGAGUUGUGAGUACUUUCUGCUGUAGCGGGGAAACACACCUACUCUGAGAGGAAGUUCUUUUUUUUUGUUUGUUCGUUUGUUUGAUUUUCAAUUUUCUUUUGUUGUUUUUUUUGGGGGGGUUGUUUUGUUUUGUUUUUUGUUUCCUGUGGUAUUCAAGCUAAAAAAUACUAACAAGUUAAUAAAAAAAAGCACUUUAUGUUUUUCUAAUCUAGGUUCUACCAGGGACAGUGUCAAGAUCUCGCACUUUAAAACAAGCACUAUUUCCCGUGGGCCGCAUGCUGGCACUUGGGGUAUUACUUGUGCCCAUUUCUGGCCACAGUGGGUCUGCCGUUACCACACCAGAGUCCGGGGCUUUU